AUGAAGCACAAAGCGAGGCUAGUGGCCAAAGGGUACGUGCAAGAGGAAAGUAUGGACUUCGAAGGAGUGUUCGUUCCCGUUGCAAAGAUGAAAUCGAUGGAAUUACUCAUCGCUCUCGCGGUUCAGGAAUCAUGGAAGAUACAUCACAUGGAUGUAAAAACCACUUUUUUGAUCGGAGAGUUACAAGGAGACGUUUAUGUGACCCAACCACUGGGAUUCAUCAAAGAGGGAGAAGAGCACAAGGUACUGAAGUUACACCAAGUCUUGUACGGGCUACGGCAAGGCUCUCGGGCAUGGAACAUCAAACUUGAUCAGACGAUGAUUUCUCUUGGAUUUGAGAAAGCCCCACUAGAGUAUGCGAUGUACAAGAGAGGUGAAGGAAGGGAUCGUCUACUAGUUGGAACCUACGUCGACGACCUAUUGAUUACUGGAGCAGAUGAAGAGGUGAUUGCAAAGUUCAAGCUACAAAUGAAGGAGUUUUUCAAGAUGGAUGAUCUUGGUAUUUUGAGUUACUACCUCAGAAUGGAGGAACAUCAAAAGUCGGAGGGGAUCACACUAUGCCAGGAGGCAUAUGCAAGGAAGGUACUUGAAAGCAGUGGCAUGAAAGAUUGCAAUCACAUUGUCGCUUCAAUGGAGCCUCGUCUUGAGCUGAGCAAGAAGGAGAUGGUGAAACUACUUGGCUACAGUGGUAGUGACAAGGAAGGAAUUAUCGACGGUCGUAAGAGUAAUUCGGGCAUGACAUAUUUCCUUGGAGGAAACAUAGUAAGCUGGCUAUCACCAAAGUAUAAAGUGGUGACAUCGACUUCAAGUGAAGCAGAGUAUCAAGGUGUGUGGCUAGGAAGGCUACACGGUGAUUUCAUGGAUCGAGAUCCGGAACCGAUGGUGCUCAAUGUUGACAGUGAGUCUACGGAUUUUCUAUGCAAGGAUCCAGUGCGGCAUGAUAGGAGCAAGCACAUUGAUACGGUAUAUCACUAUACAAAGGAUUGCAUGGAAGAAGGUAAGAUGAAGGUCAACUACGGUUGCACCGAUGAUCAGCUGGCAGACAUCCGGACCAAGGUUUUGGAUCGAGAGAAGUACUUGGGGCUGCGAAGAAGAAUCGGCGUCGGCACUGUAACGUGA
rnacentral:rRNA from 1 species